UGGACAGCUCUGGAGACAAGAGCUCUCUUUUGCUCCACAGAGCAGGGACAGCACAGGCUGAGCAGUGCAAGCUUCCCCUAGAGAGUGACCCUUUCAGGGGUGAGAGGAGACUUCAGUCUCCCUGGCUUCUGCAAUGAGACAGC
rnacentral:sRNA from 1 species